rnacentral:lncRNA from 1 species
CUGGGAAGAAUUGAAGGCAGGAGGAGAAGGGGAUGACAGAGGAUGAGAUGGUUGGAUGGCAUCACCGACUCAAUGGACAUGAGUUUGAGCAAACUCCAGGAGAUUGUGAAGGACAGGGAAGCCUGGCGGGCUGCAGUCCACAGGGUUGCAGAGUCGGACACGACUGAGCGACUGAAUGACAACAGCAGCAACAUUUAACUUCCAGUUGCCCGAUGUCACGAGCACCAUUUCAAGUGCCUAAAGUCUCCACGUGAUCCAUGGCAAACCAUGUUGGAUGGCACAGAUGUAGAACCACCCCUUUGUUGCAGAAAGUCCUACCGGGCCAGACUGACCUAGAGGACAUGAUCUCUGUUCCUAGCUUGGCUUGGGAAAGCAUUUAGACCCCCCCCCCCUCACAAAAAAAAGAAAAAGAAAUAAAGAAAACCCAGCUCUUCUUUACAAACAGGCCGUCCCUCGCAAUGUGGGAAUGUCAGGGCCUCUCGGUGAAGUGAGCAAGAGAGAAGAGAAACAAGAUGCAGCUGAGGUGGGGACGCUGUGUUUUCUCCGAUAUUACUAAGCAACCGUGUCCUAAAAUCUCCGGAGCCAGCGACAGAACUUUGUUUACCAGGAAGAAAGCACUUGAAAAGGAGAAUAUUUGGCGGAAAUGCGCUUUGGGAUUAGCAGCCACAAGGAGGGGAGAGGAAUGGAAUCUCAAACUCGUUUCCAGCUCCGUCAAGUCCCCAGUCCAUUUCCUGCCAUCGCUAGGACUUCUCACUUUCUUUACGCCCCACCCUAACCUCUGCUUGUCGUUCAGUUGCUUAGUCAGCCCCAUGGACUGCGGCACAACAGGCUUCCCCAUCCUUCACUAUCUCCCGGAGUUUGGUCAGACUCAAGUCCGUUGGGUCGGUGAUGCCAUUCAACCAUCUCAUGCUCUGUCGGCCCCUUCUCCUCCUGCCCUCUGCAUGAAGGGCUAAAGUGAAUGGUGCAGAAAGUCCAGCAUGGGAGGGGACCAAGUGAUGCAGAAGAGGGGUCGCCCGUCCGCAGUGGAUAAACAGGCCCCUGAAUUGUGACCCCUAGCUGAAUGCUUCUGAAUAAAAGUUUCAGGACCACUUGAUCGGCUAAUGUG